UGGGCUUUCGCCAAAUGGUAAGGCACAGGAUUCUGAUUCCUGCAUUUAGGGGUUCAAGUCCCUUAAGCCCAG
rnacentral:tRNA from 1 species